GAGUUUGAUCAUGGCUCAGAUUGAACGCUGGCGGCAGGCCUAACACAUGCAAGUCGAGCGGUAGCACAAGAGAGCUUGCUCUCUGGGUGACGAGCGGCGGACGGGUGAGUAAUGUCUGGGAAACUGCCUGAUGGCGGGGGAUAACUAGUGGAAACGGUAGCUAAUACCGCAUAACGUCGCAAGACCAAAGUGGGGGACCUUCGGGCCUCACGCCAUCAGAUGUGCCCAGGUGGGAUUAGCUGGUAGGUGGGGUAACGGCUCACCUAGGCGACGAUCCCUAGCUGGUCUGAGAGGAUGACCAGCCACACUGGAACUGAGACACGGUCCAGACUCCUACGGGAGGCAGCAGUGGGGAAUAUUGCACAAUGGGCGCAAGCCUGAUGCAGCCAUGCCGCGUGUGUGAAGAAGGCCUUCGGGUUGUAAAGCACUUUCAGCGAGGAGGAAGGGUAAUGUGUUAAUAGGACAUUGC
rnacentral:rRNA from 1 species